AUGACUUCCGCUUUGGAGGAGUUGCAGAAAGACCUAGAAGAGGUCAAAGUAUUGCUGGAAAAGUCCACCACGAAAGGACUAUGUGAUACUCUACAAGUGAAAAAUCCAAGAUUAAGAUGGAACUCAAGAACAAGGUGCAACAGAAGUCGCAGAAGAAACCAGAACUUGAUAAUGAAAAGCCAGCUGCUGUGGUUGCUCCUCGUACAAUAGGAUACACCGUGAAAAUCAGUAAUUAUGGAUGGGAUCAGUCAGAUAAGUUUGUGAAAAUCUACAUUACCUUACCUGGAGUCCAUCAGGUUCCCACUGAGAAAGUGCAGGUACACUUCCAGAGAGGUCAUUCGAUCUUUUGGUAAAAAACCUCAAUGGCAAGAAUUACUCCAUGAUUGUGAACAAUCUUUUGAAACCUAUCUCUGUGGAAAACAGUUCAAAAAAAAAGUCAAGACUGAUACAGUUAUUGUAUGAAAAAAGAAAGCGGUAAACACAAGAUGGGACUACUUAACUCAGGUGGAAAAAAGAAUGCAAAGAGAAAGAAAAUCCUUCCUCCGACAGAAAAGCCUUUCUCUGACACUGAGGCAGACUCUAGUGAGGGAUUAAUGAAUGUUCUAAAGAAAAUUUAUGAAGACAGAGACGAUGACUGAAGCGAACCAUUAAUAAAGCAAGCAUGGGUGGAAUCCAGAGAAGACACGGAAUUUUGA
rnacentral:lncRNA from 1 species